GGCCGGGGGUCAGCACUGAGUCCCAGGGGCCCCGUGUGAGACCCGGACUGAGCCCCCGUGGAGGUGGCUGCAGUGGCAGCGCGACGGGAGCGCCCUCGGCGGACAGGCGGAGGCUGCCAAUCCACACCGGCCCAAGUGCGGGGUCCCCGCCAGCUGCGCCAUCCACGACCGCACAGUCUUGGGCUCAGGAGCGCAGAAUGUUAGUCCCACUGGAACAAGGAGUUUCGCCUGUUUUGGUGCUUAGUAUUUGGAAUGCCCCACCCAAUUUCCCAUAGGCCGGAGCUGGCAGUCUGAGGCCAGGCUGUACACCCAACAUGAGGUUUGAACUCUAGACCCUGAGAUCAAGAGUCGCAUGUUCUACUGACUGAGCCAGCCAGGCGCGUUCAUGGAUUCGAUCUCAAUACCAGAAACAAAGCAAGCUCAGAGUGGACCAUCAAUAUAGUUGCCAUUUAUUUAGCCUAGAAUUUCUUGACCUCACACUGGUGGCAUUUUGAACUGGAUCAUUUCUGCGGACAGGGGGCUAUCCUGUGCAUUGUAGAACACUGAGCAGCAUCUCUAGCCUUUACUCAGAGAUGUCAACAGCACCCCUCCCCCAAUUCUGACAACCAAAAAUUUCUCCAGACUGCCAAACUGAAGGGGUUUGGGAGGGAGGGGUGUUCAUUCCCAACUAAAAGCUACUGGUGCUUUAGCUCCUUCUAUAAGACAAAGCCAGUACUAACCUCCGGGAUGGCCUUACA